ACAGAGGAGGGGGAGAGACACAGCUGCGAGGCGCUGUUAUACUCCAUGUUGUAAACCAUACCUUAUAGUAAAUCCCGUCUCCACGUGGUCUUACUGCACAACGCCAGGAAUUUGUCCAAUUUGCCAGAAUAUUUUUUUCUUUGCUACAAUUUAAAAGGUUUUGAGUAGCGUGUAUUGGUGCUUUGACACCCCCCUUAGCUUCAGGCCCCACAAAGUUUUGUCCACUUAGCGGCUCAAUUCUGUGCCACAGAUCCAUUUAAAAUAGUCCGUUAUGUCCUGAUAACAUUUCGAGAUAUCUGGGUACGGUCAGAAGACUUGUAGGUAUGUCUGUACUCUGCCUUGCGUGCAUCUAGGGAAAUCCGAGGAGUUGUUAAAUUUGGCUCUCCUGUCGUUGGUCAGGUAGGUCCCAUUCAUGAACUUGAACUGAAUAACUUUCAGCAGAAAAGACCAUUUCUGGUGAGGAAUGUGCAGUCCCAGCAGCUUUUCCCAUAACUUUCUAGUUUUAUGUUUCAUCUGUCACCAUCUCUGUUGAUUACAUGAUUUGCCUCCGCCAAUCUAUAUUGUCCUUUUUAACCCCUCAGCCAAUCUAUAACAGUGUCGGCACUAAGCUUGCAGUCUUUGUUUGAAGCUUUAGUAAUAGUGUCACUGAUCUGCAGGUAUUUAGAAAAGAGUGCCCACGGGAGGUAUUUAAAUGUUAAUAAUGUACACGAUAAUAAAAUUGAGAGACGUUAAUGAGGAAAUUGGAGGAGGUUAUGAGAAAUUUAGGAAUGAGAGGAUAUGGGAAGAGUUUAAGUGGAAGUGCCGAUAUGCAGGCCAGGUGCUAAGUUACCUUGUGCUCCAGAUAGUUGUGACUGAAGGUUUCCUUUCAAUUACAUUGUGAUGAGAUGUUAAAUGAAAUGCUUUCAGUUGUGACUGCUUGUAGGAUGAUGCAAUAUCGAAAAUAAAUCAUGAUUAUUUGAUCAAUAUAUAAACACACACAGAGAUUCUACAGAGCCUUUAGCAGACUUUUCGGUCAUAUACUGUUAGGGAACACCUAAUGAAGGCCAGAACGGCACAUGGUGAUAAGGAGGCCAGCACCACACUCAGCCAACUGAUGUUUACUUACUACACCAGGUACUAGUUUAAGGCUGAGUCGACCUAGGUGAGGUCCACUGUCGUUUUAGAUAUUCAUCAAUGAGGUUAGCCAUGAGUGGCAACCGAACCAGGUUCGUGGCGCAGUGUGCUAACCACUGCACCUCUACUUUCCACGCGCAUGCACACAUAUGCAUACACUAAGACACACAUGUACAAACACGCAUAGAGAUGGACAAAUGCAAAUGCACACAUAGUAGACAUUCACACAUACAUCACAUUAAACCCAAAAACCUAAACAGCAGUUGCUUUUUGCAAGCUCCUAUGAAAGUUGACAUGACAUUUGUGCAGUCUCCACAAACACGACCCUCAACCACUGUCCCAUCAGCAACCACCACCUUUCACCACCCCUCACCAUCCCCCACUCUCUGCCCAGAUCCUCCACCCAUCCCCUCUGCCCCCACUAACAGUCUCUUCUCUACUCUUUGGUUCUAUUGGGUAAAGUCACGUAGGUGAAAAUAAAAUAACAAAAAAUCACGACGUCUCUUCUCUUCCUGCAGCCUGUAUCAUUGUUCACUGACGGACAAGUCAGGUUCCUAUCUCAGUGUUAUCCUCAAGGCCAACACAGGUUUGAAGAUUCUCAGGCUGAGUGACAACAAGAUCAGAGCCAGCGGACUCAAAUGUUUGGCGGACGGGAUGUUCGGAAUAGCAGGGAGUUUGGAGACAUUAGAUCUGCAGUACUGCUCACUGAUGGACAAAUCGAUCCUAUCUCUUCAUGACAUUAUGAUCACCAACAAAUCAUUGAGGGAGCUCUGGGUGGAUGGCAAUGACUUCAGUGAGGAAGUGAAGCAGGAGCUGAGGAGCAACUGGACUCACAGAGUAAACCUGCGUUUGUAGAUUUAAGCUGAGAGGCGAUGCUGACCCAGCAGCAGACGGAGCUGCCCCAUGAGCGAAUCGCACACAAGCCUGUAGCAUUUCACUUCCACAGCUCGGAUCGCCGGCACCGGCUCUGAUACAAUGAGCGGGGAACUCUUUGUGAGCUCCACACGGAGCCGGAGGUGAAUGCGGCUCCAAGAUUCUGAUGAGCGUGGUGAUUACGAUGAUGUUGAAGUGUAUUUAUGAAUGUGUUGUGGAAGGAAGCGAUGUUGGGGGUUGUGGGGGAGUGGUGCUGGGGGGCAUGCGGAGGACAUGCGGGGGAAGGGGAUGCAAGUGGAUUUGAAAUGGUCUGGCACUGAGUAGGAAUGUUUUUUAAUGAAUGUGCAUACAUUUGUGCAUGAGUGUUUACCACACUCAUGCACGUGAGUGUGUACCACUCUCAUGCACAUAUCCUAGUCUCAACAGUCACCCUAUAUCUGUUUAAUAUUCAUGUAUUUUAACUUUCAACUGCGCAUUGAUCGGUCUAAAAGUAAUCUUCCAAGUCGACUUCAGUUUGAAGGAAUUUAUUAAUAACUAACGGGAAGUACCCAGCGUUGCCCGAGCGAAAAAGACACACACAACCGCUAUUCGCCACUUGGUGGCGGUGACGUCACCACGACGCUUGUGCCAGGCUAUUUGCACCUUGAGGCCUAGUGAAGUGUCGGACGCCCGCAGGCAGGAGGUCACGGGGCAGACCCAGGUGCCACGGGUCGACUGACUGAGACGGCUGAGCUGACUGGCUGAUGCACCACCUGUGCCCCCUACUGUGCCAACUUGCUGUGCUUCAGCCACCCGGUGCUCCACUCGUUAUCGUAAGCGUCGCUCGAUCCACCCUCCGUUGUUGUUGGAGGGCGACUGCCUCCAACUGCCCAGUAGUGUCUUU